UAAAAAGCAAUCCUGAUAAAAAAUAUCUCAGAACCGUUAUCCUGCUCUGUAGCUCCGCCCACCCUGUGAGGUUUUGGAUGGAUAGAGGGAGAAUGGAGAGGGAGAUAAGACGCAGUGAAGGAGAAAGGGAAAGUAAGUCUCGUCUCCUCCAUUAGAAACAGGACAGAAGUCUGGAUUCACUCGGGUGUCGGCAGUGUCCAGCUGUGUUUGAAUGAAGAACAGUAAAUGAUGGAUCUUCAGAACAUCAGCAGUGGAGCAGGACCCCCUGUCCUAAAAACUGAAACCCAGAGAGCAGCAUCUCCAGAGCCCAGCUGUGUGUCUAUGAAGAGUGACGCAUCCAUUCAGGAACCUCCUAAUUUCAGCAGUGGAGGAGGAAGCUCUGGGUCUCGGUACAUAAGAUAAGAUAAUCCUUUAUUAAUCCCACAAUGGGGAAAUUUGCAAUGUAACAGCAGCACAGGGGAAAGAACAGAGAAACAGGUCAGGAAAAUAUAUUGUGGUG